CCUACGGGUGGCAGCAGUGGGGAAUAUUGGACAAUGGGGGGAACCCUGAUCCAGCCAUGCCGCGUGUGUGAAGAAGGCCCUCGGGUUGUAAAGCACUUUCAGUGAGGAAGAACGCCUGGUGGUUAAUACCCAUCAGGAAAGACAUCACUCACAGAAGAAGCACCGGCUAACUCCGUGCCAGCAGCCGCGGUAAUACGGAGGGUGCGAGCGUUAAUCGGAAUUACUGGGCGUAAAGCGCGCGUAGGUGGCUUGAUAAGCCGGUUGUGAAAGCCACGGGCUCAACCUGGGAACGGCAUCCGGAACUGUCAAGCUAGAGUGCAGGAGAGGAAGGUAGAAUUCCCGGUGUAGCGGUGAAAUGCGUAGAGAUCGGGAGGAAUACCAGUGGCGAAGGCGGCCUUCUGGACUGACACUGACACUGAGGUGCGAAAGCGUGGGUAGCAAACAGGAUUAGAUACCCGUGUAGUC
rnacentral:rRNA from 1 species